rnacentral:rRNA from 1 species
GGGUUGUGAGGUUAAGCGACUAAGCGUACACGGUGGAUGCCCUGGCAGUCAGAGGCGAUGAAGGACGUGCUAAUCUGCGAUAAGCGUCGGUAAGGUGAUAUGAACCGUUAUAACCGGCGAUUUCCGAAUGGGGAAACCCAGUGUGUUUCGACAC